ensembl:lncRNA
GGUCAUGAGUUUGAUCAAGCUUCUGGAGAUGUGGACAGGGAAGCCUGGCAUGCUGCAGCCCAUGGGGUCACAAAGAGGUGGAGACAACUGAGCAGCUGAACAACAGCCUCCUUGUCACAGAACACUCAGAGUACCCAGUAUUUUGGAAGAUGGCAGAGGCUCCAUGACUGAGCAGCUGAGUGAGAAAUGGAUGUGGCUGGAUUAUCAUAACUGCACCAACAGCCUGAAUUUACCUAUGCUUGUGUCCACAGUCACCAGGAAACCAGGUAACGGGAGGGGGCCUGGGUUAUUGCUGGUCAGCUGGUCAGAAGACCUGGACGUGGAGGGAGAUGAGUGAAGACAAGCUGGGACUUGCUGGGCACCUCUGUUUCUUUUUGUCAACACGUUAAACUGAAAAGAACUUCGAGGAGGAAUGGCUACUCCUUCCCUUGCAGCUCCCAAGAUUCAGGCAAAUUCUUCUAGCAAUUCCAGCCCAGAGUCACACAGAAGGGACCCUGGGAAAUCUAGUUUCUGGUUUAUUCAAGCUGCAACAGAACAAUCCAACACACGUUAUCUUGGACAUCAUGUAUUUUCUCA